AUACUCUACAAAUAGAGUUCGUGAUAAGACUAGACUACGAGUCGUUCUUCUGGAGUUAUUUGCAGUUUUACCUCAUUGUAAAGUAGGAGGCUGUGAUGAUCUUAUGUAACAGAGUCAGUGUUGUAAUUCUAUAGACAUGCCUUGGACC